rnacentral:lncRNA from 1 species
UGGAUGAGGCCGGGCGGGAGGCUGUCCCUUAGCUGGUGUUAACUGGCACAUGACCAGAAUGCAUAGAAACAUGGGCAGCGGGUUUGGUCCCCUGUGCCUCAUCUGUUGCCUGGUGGCUCUGUCCUAGCAGAUGUCCCCUCCCCAGGGAGUCUCCCUGCCCCUGAGCCAGGGCUAUCCUCUCCCAAAGCCCCAAGGCUCUUUAGCUUAGGAGGGUGAGCACUUUUGUCUUUCAUUUGUUGUUUCCUCUGGUCUUUACCACCCCAUUACAAGCACCUUAGGAGCACCUUAGGAGCAGGAAUCUAGUGAUAACGGCCUCUGUUUAGGCACCUGCCAUCCUACAGACGUGACUUUAUUUAGUGUCACUAGAGGCCUGGCUCAGUUUGCUCCAGCUGCCAUGACAGGAAACCCCAGCCUCUCGGGCUUAAGCUGCAGAAAUGUAUUUGUCGCAGGUCUGGAGGCUGGAAAUCCAAGAGCAAGAGCCUUCUUUC